rnacentral:rRNA from 1 species
GAUGAACGCUGGCGGCGUGCCUAAUACAUGCAAGUCGAGCGGACAGACGAGGAUCUUUCUCCUCUGACGUUAGCGGCGGACGGGUGAUUAACACGUGGCUAACCUACCUAUAAGGCUGGGGUAACUUCGGGGAACCGGAUCCAACACCGGAUAAUAUAUUGAACCGCAUGGUUCAAUAGUGCAAGCCGUAUCUGCUGUCACUAAUAGAUAGAUCCGCGCCGCAUUAGCUAGUUGGUAAGGUAACGGCCUACCAAGGCUACGAUGCGUAGCCGACCUGAGAGGGUGAUCGGCCACACUGGAACUGAGACACGGUCCAGACUCCUACGGGAGGCAGCAGUAGGGAAUCUUGCGCAAUGGGCGAAAGCCUGACGGAGCCACGCCGCGUGAGUGAUGAAGGUCUUCGGAUUGUAAAGCUCUGUUAUUAGGGAAGAACAAAUGUGUAAGUAACUCUGCAUGUCUUGACGGUACCAACAGAGAAAGCAACGGCUAACUACGUG